ensembl:lncRNA
CUAAAACCUCAUCCUGGAAAGGAAACUUCCCUAAUUUUGGCAGAUCUGAACACAGAUAGCUACUAAACAUUUAGAUCAGGGAACUGAUACAAUCAAAACAGAAUUUUAUGAAGAUUCAUCUCUCCCAGAGAACGGCUGGAUGAAAUCCAGGUACAACGUCCCGGAAACAUACCAUUCUGAUGUGCUUUCUCAAAGACAAGCCUGCCAUCAUCUUUAUCUCUCUGGCCUUCGAUCUUUAAGACUCACGGCCUGUGACGGGGACUUUGUCUUGCACGUCUGCUUUGCCCGGCAAGCCUGCCAGAAGGGGCGGCGCUGGACUCCUGAGUUCAACCUUCAAAGCGUUUUCAUCUAGCAGCUGCCGCUUAGGCCGAGCUCCAUGAACUAUCCCAGCUGGAUACACUGGCUGAGUAUUCCUCGGAGGAGCAGUAAUGUCAGCUUCUACAGUCCAUGGAUCACUUUCUCCAAGACAAGAAAGCCUCGGAGCAUGGUGGGAACUUUGAGCAGAGAAGACACACUCAGAAA